AAUAGCCUAACGGCUGAACCAGCAAUUUGAGAGAAUGGAAGUAGAAAUCUAAUACAUAGUAUAUAUUUAUGGUAAAAGUAUUUACUAUAUUUUCUAGUGGUUUAUCCACAUAAAAUUCUAGAUAGAAAAUAGACGAUGACUGAAUUCUAUCUAAUAGUCUUGACUAAAUCACGUGCCAGCUGUCGCGGUAAUACGGGAAAGACAAGUGUUAUUCAUCUUAUUUGGUAUAAAGGGUACCUAGACGGAUUUGUGAACUUAAUCUUUUUUAAACAAAAGAAAUAAAUACUAUAAAAGGUAAUUCAGAACUAACCAUUUUGCUUUACGGAAAAGAUAUUAUAUGUGUUUAUUAGUACAAAAAUCUAGAGUUUUGUAUGAGAGGUAUGUGUUGGAACUAACGGAGUAAAGAUGAAAUUUUUUGAUACUGUUGGGCACUGAUAACGGCGAAAGCAACCCUUUAUCUAGAAACUGACGUUGAGGGACGAAGGCUUGGGUAGCAAACAGGAUUAGAUACCCUAAUAGUCCAGGCAGAAAAUGAUGAGUGCUAUAGAUUAAAUUAAUAUUGGUCUAUAAAUGAAAGUGUAAGCAUUCCACCUCAAGAGUAAUGUGGCAACGCAGGAACUGAAAUCAUUAGACCGUUUCUGAAACCAGUAGUGAAGUAUGUUGUUUAAUUCGAUGGUCCACGAAAAACCUUACCACAACUUGAAUAAUUAGCAGGAUAUUAUUUUUGAAUAUUUAAAUCUGCUAUAAACACAGGUGCUGCACGGCUGUCUUUAGUUAAUGUCGUGAGACGCAGGUUCGCUCCUAUUAAUUAACGUAAACCCUUCUUUUAUUUUUUUAUAAAGUAGUUCUCCGGUUUUUCGGAAAUGAUAAUAGGGAUCAAGACAAGUACUCGCGGCCCUAAUGUUGUGGGCUAUAGACGUGCCACAUAUACCUAUACAAAAGGAUGCAAAAAUGUGAAUAUUAGCUAAUCCUUAAAGUAGGUUAUAAUAU
rnacentral:rRNA from 1 species